rnacentral:rRNA from 1 species
UACGUAGGGACCAAGCGUUGUUCGGAUUUACUGGGCGUAGAGGGCGCGUAGGCGGCAUGACAAGUCACUUGUGAAAUCUCUGGGCUUAACCCAGAACGGCCAAGUGAUACUGUCGCGCUAGAGUGCAGAAGGGGCAAUCGGAAUUCUCGGUGUAGCGGUGAAAUGCGUAGAUAUCGAGAGGAACACCAGAGGUGAAGACGGGUUGCUGGGCUGACACUGACGCUGAGGCGCGAAAGCCAGAGGAGCAAACGGG